rnacentral:rRNA from 1 species
GACGAACGCUGGCGGCGUGCUUAACACAUGCAAGUCGAACGGAAAGGCCCCUUUGGGGGUACUCGAGUGGCGAACGGGUGAGUAACACGUGAGUAACCUUCCCUUGACUUCGGGAUAACUUCAGGUAACUGGGGCUAAUACCGGAUAGGAAUCCUUGCUGCAUGGUGGGGGUUGGAAAGCUUCGGCGGUUUUGGCUGUACUCGCGGCUUAUCAGCUUGUUGGUGGGGUAGUGGCUUACCAAGGCUUUGACGGGUAGCCGGCCUGAGAGGGCGACCGGCCACAUUGGGACUGAGAUACGGCCCAGACUCCGACGGGAGGCAGCAGUGGGGAAUAUUGCACAAUGGGCGGAAGCCUGAUGCAGCAACGCCGCGUGCGGGAUGACGGCCUUCGGGUUGUAAACCGCUUUCAGCAGGGGCGAAGCUUGUGGUGACGGUACCUGCAGAAGAAGCACCGGCUAACUACGUG